UUUCGGGUUGUAAAGCACUUUAAGUAAGGAGAAAAAGAUUGUAGUUAAUACCUGCAAUCCGUGAUGUUACUUACAGAAUAAGGACCGGCUAAUUCCGUGCCAGCAGCCGCGGUAAUACGGAAGGUCCAAGCGUUAAUCGGAAUUACUGGGCGUAAAGCGCGCGUAGGUGGUUUUUUAAGUUGGAUGUGAAAGCCCUGGGCUCAACCUAGGAACUGCAUCCAAAACUAGAUGACUAGAGUACGAAAGAGGGAAGUAGAAUUCACAGUGUAGCGGUGGAAUGCGUAGAUAUUGUGAAGAAUACCAAUGGCGAAGGCAGCUUCCUGGUUCUGUACUGACACUGAGGUGCGAAAGCGUGGGUAGCGAACAGGAUUAGAUACCCUGGUAGUCCACGCCGUAAACGAUGACAACUAGCUGUUGGGAGACAAGAUCUCUCAGUGGCGCAGCUAACGCUUUAAGUUGUCCGCCUGGGGAGUACGGCCGCAAGGUUAAAACUCAAAUGAAUUGACGGGGACCCGCACAAGCGGUGGAGCAUGUGGUUUAAUUCGAUGCAACGCGAAAAACCUUACCUACUCUUGACAUACUUGGAAGCUCUUGUAAUGAGAGUGUGCUUUUAGAGCCAAGAUACAGGUGCUGCAUGGCUGUCGUCAGCUCGUGUCGUGAGAUGUUGGGUUAAGUCCCAUAACGAGCGCAACCCUUACCCUUAUUUGCCAGCGGUUCGGCCGGGAACUAUAAGGGGACUGCCGGUGACAAACCGGAGGAAGGUGAGGACGACGUCAAGUCAUCAUGGCCCUUACGAGUAGGGCUACACACGUGCUACAAUGGGGAAUACAGACGGACGCUAAAGCGUGAGCUGGUGCUAAUCCUAAAAA
rnacentral:rRNA from 1 species